AUAAGCGGAGGAAAAGAAACCAACAGGGAUUGCCCCAGUAACGGCGAGUGAAGCGGCAACAGCUCAAAUUUGAAAUCUGGCCCCCGGGUCCGAGUUGUAAUUUGCAGAGGACGCUUUUGGCGAGGUGCCUUCCGAGUUCCCUGGAACGGGACGCCACAGAGGGUGAGAGCCCCGUCUGGUCGGACACCGAGCCUCUGUAAAGCUCCUUCGACGAGUCGAGUAGUUUGGGAAUGCUGCUCAAAAUGGGAGGUAUAUGUCUUCUAAAGCUAAAUAUUGGCCAGAGACCGAUAGCGCACAAGUAGAGUGAUCGAAAGAUGAAAAGCACUUUGAAAAGAGGGUUAAAAAGUACGUGAAAUUGUUGAAAGGGAAGCGCCCAUGACCAGACUUGGGCCCGGUGAAUCACCCAGCGUUCUCGCUGGUGCACUUUGCCGGGCACAGGCCAGCAUCAGUUUGGCGCGGGGGAAAAAGGCUCUGGGAAUGUGGCUCCCCCGGGAGUGUUAUAGCCCACCGCGUAAUACCCUGCGCCGGACUGAGGUACGCGCACCGCAAGGAUGCUGGCGUAAUGGUCAUCAGCGACCCGUCUUGAAACACGGACCAAGGAGUCGUCUUCGUAUGCGAGUGUUCGGGUGCCAAACCCCUACGCGUAAUGAAAGUGAACGCAGGUGAGAGCUUCGGCGCAUCAUCGACCGAUCCUGAUGUUCUCGGAUGGAUUUGAGUAAGAGCAUACGGGGCCGGACCCGAAAGAAGGUGAACUAUGCCUGUAUAGGGUGAAGCCAGAGGAAACUCUGGUGGAGGCUCGCAGCGGUUCUGACGUGCGAAUCGAUCGUCAAAUAUGGGCAUGGGGGCGAAAGACUAAUCGAACCUUCUAGUAGCUGGUUCCGCGA
rnacentral:rRNA from 1 species